GCCGAAGUGGUGGAAUGGUAGACACGUGCGUUUCAGGUGCGUAUGGAGAAAUCUGUGCGGGUUCAAGUCCCGCCUUCGGCA
rnacentral:tRNA from 1 species